rnacentral:lncRNA from 8 species
AACUAAUAUUACAGCAUUAUACAGUAUCUGUAGGAAGUACAACGUAGAAAGUAAACCUUAACCAUAGUCAACGAUUGCAACUUCUGCAUCUCUAACAGGAGGAAGAGCGCUGGGUGCUGGUGUCCUCAUCACGUUCUCAACUUACUGUUACUGUAUGGCAGAUUUCGUUGAGCAAUUCAUUUGGUUUUGGGCUGUCCCCUGGCGUCUCCACCUCCCAGAGAAAUGUCUGAGGCCUUGAUAUAUUCCUCUCAGGUUUCCAUGGCCGCACCGCAGGGCCAGAUCCCGUUGCACUGAUGUCACUCAUGAAUUGAACCACCUCUCUACGGGAAGGGAUUCACAAGCUUUAUGGACUGUGGGCCUUGGAGCAUGAGGGGAAAAGUGAAGAGAGCUGGCAUGUUUCCCAGACACGCGCAGGUGAAACAUCAUGGUCAGUGCCCGUGUUAACAGUAACAAUCUGGCACCUAACAAGUGCACCUACAGCCUGUCAGAGGAGACCACUGCGUAGCAAUUUCACUGUGUGUGUGUGUGUAUGUGUGGGGGGAUUCAGUGUCUGUAUUUGUCUACUGUAUGUGUGUGCGUGUCCCAAUUCAGGAGGGAAUGAUGUCUGAAGCAAUGUGACACUUUGCUGUGAAUGAGAUGAAGGUUUUGGAAUUCUAAGAACCCAAACACUUGCCAAUUGAGGUAAAGUUCAACUGAUGGACCUCUUAAAGCCUGCUGGAGGCCAUCUAUGGAUUGUCAUUAUUUUGAUCUGA